rnacentral:lncRNA from 1 species
CAUGAAUUUUGGGGAAUAUUGUCCCUUGUAGAACAUAUAUUGCACUCGCAAACUCGUGCAAUAUAAAAUUCUUUUGGGGACAAUAUUCCCCAAUAUUCAUGCAAUAACCCAAUAAUACCAUGAUAAAUAACAUUGUUUUCAAACUUCUGAACAUAAACUUGGAAAUUUAUAAACAUGCUUAACAUUGAUGACACAGUGUAGAUUUCCUUGUCAUUGAAGUUACACUAUAUGGUAGUUCAAGGAAGGAAAUGCCUGGUUAAAUGUACAAGGAGCAUACAAGUAACUUGCAAUAUUAUUAGGAUUAGGUAAACGCAACAUUAUAAGCACUUCAUUUGUGGUAAUUUGUGGACAGAGUUUUUUUGAAUCAAUGUGAUCUUUUCACUUUCACAUUAUUGAGACAUAGUCAAAUUUUUCAAUGUUUUUUUUUUU